rnacentral:rRNA from 1 species
AAGCAGCGGAGCAUGUGGCUUAAUUCGACGCAACGCGAAGAACCUUACCAGGGCUUGACAUGCAGGGAAAGCGGCGGAAACGUCGUGUCCGCAAGGGCCCUGCACAGGUGGUGCAUUGGCUGUCGUCAGCUCGUGUCGUGAGAUGUUGGGUUAAGUCCCGCAACGAGCGCAACCCCUGUCGUAUGUUGCCAGCAUUAAGUUGGGGACUCAUACGAGACUGCCGGCGUCAAGCCGGAGGAAGGUGGGGACGACGUCAAGUCAUCAUGCCCCUUAUGUCCUGGGCUGCACACGUGCUACAAUGGGCGGUACAAAGGGUCGCGAACCCGCGAGGGGGAGCCAAUCCCAAAAAGCCGCUCUCAGUUCGGAUUGCAGGCUGCAACUCGCCUGCAUGAAGCCGGAAUCGCUAGUAAUCGCGGAUCAGCAUGCCGCGGUGAAUACGGUUCCCGGGCCUU